AUUGAACGCUGGCGGCAGGCCUAACACAUGCAAGUCGAGCGGGGUUUUCGGACCUAGCGGCGGACGGGUGAGUAAUGCGUAGGAAGCUACCCGACAGAGGGGGAUACCAGUUGGAAACGACUGUUAAUACCGCAUAAUGUCUACGGACCAAAGUGUGGGACCUUCGGGCCACAUGCUGUCGGAUGCGCCUACGUGGGAUUAGCUAGUUGGUGAGGUAAUGGCUCACCAAGGCGACGAUCCCUAGCUGGUUUGAGAGGAUGAUCAGUCACACUGGAACUGAGACACGGUCCAGACUCCUACGGAGGCAGCAGUGGGGAAUAUUGGACAAUGGGCGAAAGCCUGAUCCAGCCAUGCCGCGUGUGUGAAGAAGGUCUUCGGAUUGUAAAGCACUUUAAGUUGGGAGGAAGGGUAGU
rnacentral:rRNA from 1 species